rnacentral:rRNA from 1 species
AUGGAGCUUACCCACGUAUUCUCCCUUCUCGCCCUCUUCUGUCUCCAAAGCGUGAGCGCCGACAGGGUUAAGUUCACCUCCUUGUUUGCCCUCGGCGACUCCAAGAUCGACACCGGCAACCUGCUUAUCUUGGCUACUCCGGAUGUGCCUGUGUUCAAUAACAAGCCUCCUUACGGCAAGACCUUCUUUGGCCACCCCAAUGGCCGCUUCAGCGACGGGAGAGUCACCAUCGAUUUCAUCGCCGAGGAGUUUGGUCUCCCUCUUCUUCGACCCUCCCUGCAGAAUAACCCAGACGUCUCCAAGGGCGUCAAUUUCGCCGUCGGUGGUGCGACGUCGCUCAACGUCGACUUCUUCGAGAGGAACAAAUAUGUUAAUUUCAAGCUUCUAAACAGUUCUCUGAACGUGCAGCUGGACUGGUUCGAGAAACUCAAGCCAUCGUUUUGCAAGACGGCAGGACCGAGUGAAUGCUUCAGUAAAACCCUCUUCGUCGUCGGGGAGUUUGGAGUGAACGACUACAACCUGGCAUGGGGUGCGGGGAAGUCUGAAGGCGAAGUGAGGGCUUAUGUACCUCAAGUUGUGCAAAAUAUUGCCAAUGCCGCUGAUGUGCUUAUCAAAGGAGGUGCAACUUACGUGGUCCUGCCGGGGAUCCCGCCGAUCGGGUGCUCGCCGUCCCUGCUGGCGACCCGCGUGAAGCUCAACAAGGCGAAGGAGUUCGACCAGCUCGGCUGCCUAAGCGACGUCGACCGCGUGACCAAGUACCACAACACCAAGCUGCGUGAUGCGAUCGACGGUCUGAGGCGCAAGUACGCGCAUGCCAAGGUCAUCAAGGCUGACUUCUACAACCCUAUCAUCGAGAUCCUCCAAAACCCCGGACGGUUCGGAGUGGCCGGCGGCGACGUUCUGCGGGCUUGCUGCGGAGGCGGCGGGAAGUACAACUGGAACAUCAGCGCCGUGUGCAGCCAACCGGGGGUGGCCGCCUGCAAGGAUCCCUCGGCGUUCGUGAGCUGGGACGGGACGCACUUCACGGAGGCCACGUACCGCCACGUCGCCAAAGGGUGGCUCUCCGGUCCUUACGCCGAUCCGCCCAUACUGAAUGCUAAUAACUAG